GCGAGCCGUAUACAUUGAGAGGUGUACGUACGGUUCUGGGAGGGGACUGAGCAAACCUGCCGUAGAAAUGCAGUAAGGCGGCUCUUUCCUACUCUAC
rfam:Lachnoclostridium sp. YL32, complete genome.